GAUGAACGCUGGCGGCGUGCCUAAUACAUGCAAGUCGAGCGAAUGGAUUAAGAGCUUGCUCUUAUGAAGUUAGCGGCGGACGGGUGAGUAACACGUGGGUAACCUGCCCAUAAGACUGGGAUAACUCCGGGAAACCGGGGCUAAUACCGGAUAAUAUUUUGAACUGCAUGGUCCAAAAUUGAAAGGCGGCUUCGGCUGUCACUUAUGGAUGGACCCGCGUCGCAUUAGCUAGUUGGUGAGGUAACGGCUCACCAAGGCAACGAUGCGUAGCCGACCUGAGAGGGUGAUCGGCCACACUGGGACUGAGACACGGCCCAGACUCCUAUGGGAGGCAGCAGUAGGGAAUCUUCCGCAAUGGACGAAAGUCUGACGGAGCAACGCCGCGUGAGUGAUGAAGGCUUUCGGGUCGUAAAACUCUGUUGUUAGGGAAGAACAAGUGCUAGUUGAAUAAGCUGGCACCUUGACGGUACCUAACCAGAAAGCCACGGCUAACUACGUGCCAGCAGCCGCCGUAA
rnacentral:rRNA from 1 species